rnacentral:tRNA from 1 species
GGCACGGUAGUGUAAUGGCUAGCACAACAGAUCAAAGUAGUGUCCCUCGCAGCAGGGGCGGGCAGAUUUCUGCUUGAUGUUUCCUGGCCGGCGUGUACCCCCGAACUUCUGUAGUUCUCAGUUCGAAUCUGAGUCGUGCCA